rnacentral:rRNA from 1 species
UACGUAGGGGGCAAGCGUUGUCCGGAAUCAUUGGGCGUAAAGAGCGUGUAGGCGGCCCGGUAGGUCGGUUGUGAAAACUGGAGGCUCAACCUUCAGACGUCGACCGAAACCAUCUGGCUAGAGUCCGGGAGAGGAGAGUGGAAUUCCUGGUGUAGCGGUGAAAUGCGCAGAUAUCAGGAAGAACACCCGUGGCGAAAGCGGCUCUCUGGAACGGUACUGACGCUGAGACGCGAAAGCGUGGGGAGCGAACAGG